UACGUAGGGUGCGAGCGUUAAUCGGAAUUACUGGGCGUAAAGCGUGCGCAGGCGGUAAGUUAAGUCUGAUGUGAAAGCCCCGGGCUCAACCUGGGAAUGGCAUUGGAAACUGGCUUGCUGGAGUGUGGCAGAGGGGGGUGGAAUUCCGCGUGUAGCAGUGAAAUGCGUAGAGAUGCGGAGGAACACCGAUGGCGAAGGCAGUCCCCUGGGCCUGUACUGACGCUCAUGCACGAAAGCGUGGGGAGCGAACAGG
rnacentral:rRNA from 1 species